rnacentral:rRNA from 1 species
UUGCUCUUCAACGAGGAAUGCCUAGUAAGCGCGAGUCAUCAGCUCGCGUUGAUUACGUCCCUGCCCUUUGUACACACCGCCCGUCGCUCCUACCGAUUGGGUGUGCUGGUGAAAUGUUCGGAUCGACGUCAGCUGUGGGCAACUAUGGCUCACGUUGAGAAGAUCAUUAAACCCUCCCACCUAGAGGAAGGAGAAGUCGUAACAAGGUCUCCGUAGGUGAACCUGCGGAGGGAUCAUUGAAUCUAUCAAAUCAUACACCGUGAACCAUGGCUUGUCGGGGCCCCUCCGGGUUCCUAGCCUUCUCGGCUCAUCACUGGGCUCAACACUCAGUGUGGGUAUCGGGACUAGGUUAAGGCUCCUUUUUUUAUUUUUUAACCACAACACCCUACAAAUAUCGAAACAUUUGUCCCGAUGGAAUAAUGUUGCUGUAUCACCUCUGAUAUGGUGACAUUGCUCUGUCACUUUGAUGAGUUCCUAUCGUAGGAAUCAUUAAAUUUGGACAACUCUCAACAACGGAUAUCUUGGCUCUCGCAUCGAUGAAGAACGCAGCGAAAUGCGAAACGUAGUGUGAAUUGCAGAAUUCCGUGAAUCAUCAAAUCUUUGAACGCAUAUUGCGCCAGAGGCCUCGGCCGAUGGCAUGUCUGCCUCAGCGUCGGGCUAGUCUCAUAACAAUGUCACUUGUUAUGGAUAUUGAUUGUUCCACUGACAUGGUGGAUCAAUCGAAGUGCAGAGAUUGUGUGCAUCACAUUCAGUGACCCAUCAUUCGGGCGCCACAACUGGUUAGGGGGAAGGACUGUCAGAUAGUUGGGAGACCAACUUGAUGGCUGGCCUUGUCUUAUCUGGUUGUUGGAUUCCAUACCUGAAAUUGAUGGAAUCACGCUCUAUUAUUUAAUUAAUGGAAUGAUUGUGUAUGCCAUUCAUCUCACAGGAACAAUUGCUGUGUGAAUAGCAUGGCAACUGGUUAACUACACUUCUCGACCUGAGCUCAGGCAAGAACACCCGCUGAACUUAAGCAUAUCAAUAAGCGGAGGA